UUCUGUGCUGAGUGUAGUAGUGUUUCAGAAUGUAGCUUUCAGAUAAAUGCUGAUAAAUACACACAUUUAAGAGGAGUUGUGGAUCUCCUCAGGAUGUCAUUUGACAGCAGUCAUAGAACGGUCGCGUGCAGCAGCAUGAAACGUCAGAGCCGGAACGUUUCACCAGCCAAUCAGGAGCCGGUGAGUCUUGGUGUGGGACAGGGGAGA